ACCCAGACUCCUACGGGAGGCAGCAGUGGGGAAUAUUGCACAAUGGGGGAAACCCUGAUGCAGCGACGCCGCGUGAAGGACGAAGUAUUUCGGUACGUAAACUUCUAUCGGCAGGGAAGAAAAUGACGGUACCUGACCAAGAAGCCCCGGCUAACUACGUGCCAGCAGCCGCGGUAAUACGUAGGGGGCAAGCGUUAUCCGGAUUUACUGGGUGUAAAGGGAGCGUAGACGGCCAUGCAAGUCUGAUGUGAAAACCCGGGGCUCAACCCCGGGACUGCAUUGGAAACUGUGCGGCUGGAGUGUCGGAGAGGCAAGUGGAAUUCCUAGUGUAGCGGUGAAAUGCGUAGAUAUUAGGAGGAACACCAGUGGCGAAGGCGGCCUGCUGGACAGUAACUGACGUUGAGGCUCGAAAGCGUGGGGAGCAAACAGGAUUAGAUACCCGUGUAAG
rnacentral:rRNA from 1 species